GCAGCAAUAGCUUAAACUAGAGCACUGGUCUUGUAAAUCAGAGGUGAAGGAAAUUAGUAUUCUUGCUGCU
rnacentral:tRNA from 2 species